UAUAGAAAAAAAAAUCAAGAAAAGAUAUAUAUAUUUUGUAAUGGCGGGAAAUUAUAAUUAUGGCAGUAAUGGUGGUUAUUCUCGGGAGUGGAUGUACAAGAGAUUUGAUGAAGUGACCAGGAAUUUGAUCGCUGAAUACGUAGCAAGGGUGGAGGAAUUCAUGACGUUUGCUAAUAGCUAGCCUAUCGUCCAGAGUAAUCGGGAAGGAAACCAGGCAACGGGUUCACAUUACUAGACCGAGAAAUUGAUGCGCAAUUUAGGUCUUCCGUAUCAUACAAUUGAUGUUUAUGUUAACAAUUGUAUGCUUUUCUGGAAAGAAGACGAAAAAGAAGAUCAAUGUCGAUUUUGUGGUUCACAUAGAUGGAAGCCUAAGGACGAUCGUCGAAGAACCAAAGUACCAUAUAGUCGUAUGUGGUAUCUACCUAUUGGUGACCGAUUGAAGAGAAUGUAUCAGAGCCACAAGACAGCAGCUGCAAUGCGAUGGCAUGCCGAGCACCAAUCAAAGGAGGGAGAAAUGAAUCAUCCUUCAGAUGCGGCGGAGUGGAGAUACUAUUUUGUAACAUUAGGUACUUAGUUAUGUAAUGUUAUUUUGAUUAUUAAGUUUUUGUUUAUUAAGUUAAUUUUGAUUGCAAA